UAAACGCUGGCGGUAUACGUAACACAUGCAAGUCGAACGGGCUCUUCGGAGCUAGUGGCGGACGGGUGAGUAACGCGUGAGAAUCUGCCUUCAGGACGGGGACAACAACUGGAAACGGUUGCUAAUACCCGAUAUGCCUUUUAGUGAAAUGGUUUAUUCCGCCUGGAGAUGAGCUCGCGUCAGAUUAGCUAGUUGGUGAGGUAAUGGCUCACCAAGGCAACGAUCUGUAGCUGGUCUGAGAGGAUGAUCAGCCACACUGGAACUGAGACACGGUCCAGACUCCUACGGGAGGCAGCAGUGAGGAAUUUUCCGCAAUGGGCGAAAGCCUGACGGAGUAAUACCGCGUGGGGGACGAAGGUUCGUGGAUUGUAAACCCCUUUUGUCAGGGAAGAAUUCUGACGGUACCUGACGAAUAAGCAUCGGCUAACUCCGUGCCAGCAGCCGCGGUAAUACGGAGGAUGCAAGCGUUAUCCGGAAUUAUUGGGCGUAAAGCGUCUGUAGGUGGUCGCGUAAGUCUGUUGUUAAAGCUCAGGGCUUAACCCUGAAUCAGCAGUGGAAACUACGUAACUUGAGAACAGUAGGGGCAGAGGGAAUUCCUAGUGUAGCGGUGAAAUGCGUAGAUAUUAGGAAGAACACCGGUGGCGAAAGCGCUCUGCUGGGCUGUAUCUGACACUGAGAGACGAAAGCUAGGGGAGCGAAAGGGAUUAGAUACCCCUGUAGUCCUAGCCGUAAACGAUGGACACUCGAUGUUGCCUGACGACCUCAGGCAGUGUCUUAGCUAACGCGUUAAGUGUCCCGCCUGGGGACUACGUACGCAAGUAUGAAACUCAAAUGAAUUG
rnacentral:rRNA from 1 species